AAUGCCCCACAGGGACACGCCGUGUGGCUUGUUUACUGCCAGGAGGCAGCACAAAGCCCCGCUGCCAGGGGCGGCACUGCCCUCUUGAAGCACCACCGGAUCCGCAGACAAGCCCCAGGGCCCGGAGCAGGCUGACUUCCUGUCCUAAGGUGUCCUCUGAAGCACAAAGGACCCACCGGGGCCUCUCUGCUCCAGGCAGCCACCGGACCCAUGAGAUGGCAACGGGGAGAUGCCACUGCCAAGCCCACAGGCGGAUUUGAUGAAGAAACAGGCUGCUGUUGAGCCCACACGGCAGGAAGCGUUUGUUACCCAACAGCUGCGUGGGAAGUGGUCGCUGCUGCUCAGUGACUGAUUCAGCUGAGAGCUCUGGCCACGCCCCCAGGACUGCGGGCUGCCUCGACAGGUUCCCGCGC